rnacentral:rRNA from 1 species
UACAUAGGUCUCAAGCGUUGUUCGGAUUCAUUGGGCGUAAAGGGUGCGUAGGCGGCGCGGUAAGUCGGGUGUGAAAUCUCGGGGCUUAACUCCGAAACUGCAUUCGAUACUACCGUGCUUGAGGACUGGAGAGGAGACUGGAAUUUACGGUGUAGCAGUGAAAUGCGUAGAUAUCGUAAGGAAGACCAGUGGCGAAGGCGGGUCUCUGGACAGUUCCUGACGCUGAGACACGAAGGCCAGGGGAGCAAACGGG